UUUUCCUUCAUUCUCACAAUUAUAGUUACAAAGGUUUCAACAGGUGCACUGCAUCUCAUUUAGUGCUAAACUUUUGCUCAGUUUUCCUUUAUUCUAUGCUUUUAAAUUAUCACCAACUAUAAUAUCUCACUUCAAUUAAAUAUAUAUUUAUUCUCUUAGUCAAUUCAUCAAACACCUCGAAUGUAUAUUUUUGAUACAGAGAAAGAAUGGAAUUAACUAUUCAGUUCUUACCUAUUAUUACCA
rnacentral:lncRNA from 1 species